UAAUUCAUUUAUAUGUAUAUAUAAAUGCAUGUACUCAAAUGAAUGACAACGAUAUAAUGAACCCAAUAUAUGGAGCUGACAGGAUGACUACUAGUAACUUCAGAGUUUUCACUUGAGAACUUUAUUCAGCAGAAGGGUUGGCAAACCCCAGCCAAGGGGUUAAAUAGGGCUCACAGAUUAUUUUUCCAGGUAUAGUUAUAUUAAAACUCAGGGCAGGCCAUCUC